GCAGAGAGGGAGCUCAGUUCCGUGGAAAGAUGUCUGUUACUCAUUUCCACCUGGUGGAACAAGGGUCAGUUGAAGGUGGAGCUUAGACCGUCCACAUUUUAACGUGUGCGCCUCCCUCUCCUCUCGGGCCGGCGGGUGGAAAGCAGGUGGUUGCCGUGGCCUCGGCCCCGAGCCCCACGUUAGGAGGUCACGGCCAGCCUCUGAGCACUUUGCACCCCAUAACUCUACCUGAAAACCAGGUGCACACGUGAAGAUAAACCCCCGUAAUGCAUGUGGGGGUGCUUCCCGACGACCACAGUGAUUGCACGGGGAACCAAGGCCUGGUCGGGGUUGCGUCCUGCACUGGGUCGUGGAGACGGAGAAUUGAAGCUGCAUUGGCCGGACCCUGUCGUGUCGGUGAAGAUGCAUUUAUGAGGUGCCCUGUCAGCCCGGGAGACCCUGCCUCUGCUGCUGAGACAGCUAAGUGCAGGAAAAACGAGGGCCCCUAUUUCUGAGCAGGACAGGUCGUGUGUGCCCCGCUCUGGGGGACGCGUCAGGUGCAGAGCUCCCGGAGCGGGCUCUGGGGCUGCGGGGAAGGGCCCCCCACAACUCCCCGGGGACCAGCCUUGUCGCAAAAGUAGUGGCCGAGUCCAGCUCUCCAUGCCCACAGGUGGCCUGCGCCUCACGUCGGUGACCUUUGACUCCUUCUCUGUCUCUCUGUUAACUUAUCUGAAUUUCAAACUUUGGCCGAGGAGGCAUGGCGUAUACACGUCCAGUGUACAGGUGCACGUGUGUACAGGUGCACACCUUUUACAACGCACAGAGAAGGAAGGCGGGAACACCCAAGGCACACAGGAGCUCUGGAUUCCUUGGUUCCAGCUCUGUGGGCCUCAGCUCCCCACUCCCUGGCAGAGAAAAGCUGCAAGUUAAAAAUUUCUCCCUUUCCUCUACCUUGAAAGGGCUGAUCUGGGACGUAAAUGCUCACUUCAGCAUCCGUGUGCACCGCGAUGCUGGGCGGGCACACACUUCCCUCUGCAAGGAUUUGAGAACUAACAGCACAUGAACCACAGCUAACCAGGCAUGAAAAUCCAUUAAUUAAUUCAACAUUCAACAGUCAAAAGAAGAACACUACACGAUCAGUCCAACUUGCCUGAUAAAAUCGAAUCUAUCUUAAUGAAUUUUGCACGCGCACAUGCUAAACCACAGCCCUUACGUGGAGGAAUGUACUGUGGUUCUUGAACGUGGGCUUUAAAAUCUCCCAAGAAAAAUCAUGGUCGUGCAGGAUGGUGCCAUGUAAAACCAUUCGGAUUAGAGCUGGGGCAGGGACAAGGAUGCCCAUGUCCAUCAUUCAUAUUUCAUGUUGGUUUGCAAGCAUCAACCAGUGGAACUGGAUAAGACGUCAUUUCAUGCUACUACAGUCGCACACCUGAAACACAGAAUAAUCGAGUAAAGAAAUUAUUAGGACUGAUAGAAUUGAGGGAGCUGCUUUUAAAAAAAAAAAAAAAAAAAAUUAAUGACCAGAACUCACUCACUUCCCCUUACCUGAAAAGCAAGCAUUUAGAAAAUGCAACAGGAGGAGCACUGUCUGUACAAGAGCAAUAAUGCUGGAGGAGCGAGGAAGGGAUUUUACGAGGACUGCAGGACCUCUAUGAGGAAAGUAGAUUCUUCUGCGGAGACAGACUCUGCUGUGCAUAAAUGGAUAACAUAGCGUAUCUUCGGAAUGAGAGACUGGAUGAUGUGAAGGAAUUAAUAGCCCUAAAUUAAACACCCUACCCCGUGUGACAGUAGAAUCUACAAUGUUGAGUUUUGCCAGAAAAAUCAGAACACCCUGCACUGGACCACAGACAGACCAAGUCGUCGCACUGGGCCGAUGGAUGGAAACAGGCUGAAACACCACACACCUGUCUGAUUCACGGAUUCGGGAGUAUUUGCACCUCAAAUUCCCAGGAGAAAGGAUGACAGUGGACAAGAGGCCAACACCGUCUUCACCAAAGGCUCCUGGUGACCAUCAUGCGGAAUGGGACAGAAGGAAGCCAUGAUCGGACUCAGUAAGAAGAAUGGGGCAUCUGGUCUAGGACAGUCCUACCGAAGAUGCAGAAUCUGAAACACGAGACCAAUGGGAAAAGGAUGAUAUUCUACAAAAUAACAGGUCUGUAAAUAACAGGUCUUUAAAAAACUGAUCAUAAAGGUCAGGGACGGAGCCCGUCAGAUCAAGGAGACUAAGAAGGUGGGACAACGCGGUGCAGUGAGUGGUUGCCCUGGACCCUCUCCCUGGGGAGGACGGGCCACUCCGGAGCAGGUGUGAGGACCGGUCUGUCCCGCAGUAACAAUGCCACCUUCCCACUCAUGGUGGUGGAGUGUUGUGUGCGGCUUCCUCACUUGCAGGACUCACGCAUGAAUGAGUUCUUCAUGCACGAACCUUAUCCAACAAGAUAAGGUUUCAUUGGAGCAACUUCUCAGCUGGAUCAAAAGGGGGAAAAGUUUAUUUGGACUUUACUACCCAUUUCUCCAUAAGAUUG